AAACACCUGCAAAGGUUUCCUGAGCCUUUAAAUGGCCUCUCACUCUGGGUCAGAAGGCUACACAAUCACGGGGAAGACUGCUGACAAGACUGAUGUCCAGAAGACAGUCAUCAACACCCUUCACAAGGAAGCAAAGUGGUGUGACCUGAACCCCAGAAAUAAUCUAUGGAGGAUUGUCAGGAGGAAGGUGAGAGACACCACACCCAACAAUGGAGAUGAUCCGAAGGCCACUAUCAAAGCAGCCUGGGCUUCCAUCACACCUCAGCAGGACCACAGGCCGAUCGCCUCCAUGCCAUGCUGCAUUGAUGCAGUAACUCUUUAACUAUUCCUAAAGAAUAUUUUACUUUUUGAGAAACUGAAUUUUCAAUCAAAAUAACUGAAAUAAACACUUGAAAUAUAACACUGUGCAAUAAAUUUAGAUAAUUUAGGCUUCACUUUUUGAAUUCAAUUACUGUAAUAAAUGUAACUUUUCAGUGACAUUCCAGUUGCCUGAGAUGUCCCUGUAUUUGCAUAUUUGGAGAAAUUACAGUGAAAACAUGUCAUCCAAAUAGAACAUCACUGUGGGUUGUACAAAUUUAUUUUAUCUUUGUUUAAUUUUUUGAUUGAUGCAAACACAUGCGAAGGUCAAACUGUGCUUUGACUUCUACAAUGACAGCUGCGACUUUGAACCACUGUACCUGACUGUUUAUUUCCAUCAAGGCAAAUCAGAAUAUAUGUGUCUUUCGCAUGUGAGCAUCAGCCUAGAGUAAAGAAGAGCUUGCUAAUGUAGCCUGAACUGACUUCUUUUGGAAAGGUUGCAUUCCUAUUGGGAUUGUUUUCUGAUAUUAAUUUUCCUUCCAAGCUGUGGAUUAUGAUUUUUUUUCACACACUGAUCAAACAAAUCACUGUUACAAUAAAUAAAAAGGCUACUCCCAAUGACAAUAAAAAAUGAACUGCCUCUAACCUCUGACACAAUCUUUCAUAGGGCUUCAUCAACAUCUGUUCAUACUCUGCUGAUCUUGUGGGGUGUUUAUGUUGACUAGUUCAGCUCUACAAGAACACUCCACAAAACAGCUGUAAGUCAUCUUGAUUUCCUUUUAUUUGGUAAUUUCAGUCUUAAGCAUGUCCAAGAUUUUCAACUUAACCUAUUAAUGCAUCUGUAGGUGACAUGUGCAAAGAUUUUUUUUUUCUGUUUAGACAACCUUCACCGCACUUUAAGUUGCAAUAAAUUCAAUUAAACAUACUUUAUCAAAGUUUUGCACUACCUGUCACUUCCAGGUUUCCUUCUAAAGUUCUCUGCAAAAUAUUUUAAAGUUUGUAAAGCACAGAGACUUUGUUGCCAUUGUAUUCUCUAUUAUUCCGCCAUAAAAAAGUUACAGCAUUGGCUACACGUGCUUUAUGACUAAGAAACCCUUUGAUGAAGAUGCUUAUCAUCUUCAUCACUCACAUAAAGCUCAGUUGUUCUUCAUUCACUUUCUUUCCAAACACACUUAAUCAUCUGGGGGGUGGGUGUUGGGUUUAUCCCUCUACAUGUGCCAAUCAAUGAAUAUUGACUAUGACAUAAAAUACUUGAAAUUGACACAACAAUUUACAAGAACAGCAUUUGCAAUGUUUUUUUUUGUUUUUUUGUUAUGAAUCAAGUAGGGCCAUGGUGCAAAUGAUGAAGAUAAAAAAUAAAUAACCUCAAAUUGAGCAGUUUCAUGCACCAACAACAAUACAUCUUCUGUAAAGCUAAGUGAAACAGUGUGACAUGAACCUCUACAUCACUGUGUCCUGAGUCUAUUGAACAUGGGACAAAAGAAAUAGAAUGCAGGACUAAUGGAACCCUAUCUGAGUAUUUAGAUUUAUUCCUAUGUGUAAAAUAACCAGAACCCCAUAAAAACAUGUAAAUUAAAUUUAACUAUUCCACAUACAACACAACAACCUGAGAUCAAGUUAGAGACCGUUGCAGCAUGGACAUCAACAUCAGGCAUCUACAGAAACCUUUGUUGAUACAGAACCACAUUUUGUAUUCUGAAAAACUCAAACGGACAAGAUUUUUAUGGUUAAAAACAUAAAUAUCAAAGUGCAUUCGGCCUCAACAAUCCCACCUUUAUAGCUCUCUAACAAACAUUUGGCAUGAACAAGCAGAAAGUUACUUAUUGGUAUUGAAACAUUUUCUGAUGGUUGCAAAUAAGACACAGUUAUCAAGUUAUCUUUGUCUGGCAUUAAAAUAUUUUCAUUAUCUGACAGAUCUAAGUGAAACAGGCUGUGGUCCUCAAUGCAGCAGCUUGGGGUUUGAUCUCCAACCAUGACACAUUUGCUGCAUGUCUUCCCACUCCUCUCUCUGUCAGUUAAAGGCAACUGGUGCCACAAAAGCUUUUUUUUUUAAAAUGUGGGACAAACAGGUCAAACAGGUGAAUUCUGUGUUCUUUCAAAGCUCUGUACACAUUUGCAGACUUUACUUGUGUGAGAAACUAUGUUUCAGGAUUCACUACCGUCCUAAGUUGUUAGAUCUGCUGGACAUUUCCAGGAUAAUUAUGUGCAACCAUCCUGUGUGUUUAUUUGCUGUAUUCCAGUUCUCCUGUUUCAAUUCAUCUUCUACUCACUUUGCAGAUUUGUUCAAUUAAAAGAAAAAUUUUUUACAAA